rnacentral:lncRNA from 1 species
CGCGGAAGAAGGAAGGAUUAUUUAACCAGGAGUUAUUGAAACAGGCACAAGUAUUUGUAAGGCCCUGUCGAUUGUUUGAAGAUACUUUGGUUUAGAGUGAAUGAGAAACGAAGGGAACAUGUCGAGUAAUUUAACAACGGAUGGUUCAAUUGAGGAUUGUUUCGAGACAUAUAUUGUUCUGAGACCAACCAGUUCAUACACCAUUAAUAGCAUCUUUGGUUGCAUUGUAAACAUAGUAUUUGCUGUGACAGGAAUAUUCCUUAAUGCACUCGUGGUAUGCGUUUUCUGGAAAACACCAAAACUCCGACUGAAAGUGUCAUAUUUCAUGAUAAUGGUUUUGUCAACAAUUGAUCUCUCUGUCUCAAUCAUCGUUCAUCCAUUACAUGUGCUUAAUUCCGUAGCUGAAAUCACAGAAACUGCUAAAUGUGGCUAUAAAAUGACCUACCAAACAUCAGCAGUUGUAUUCUCGGGGAUGUCAUUUCUAACGUUCUUUGUUAUGAAUUGCGAGAGAUUUCUAUCAAUUGUACAUCCAUUCUUUCAUCUUAACCACGUCACUAAGCGUAGAUGCCUCUUCAUCGCAUCUCUGACAUGGAUCAUCUGCAUUGUGACUGGAAUUUCGCCCGUAUUUGCUUUAAACAUUCAAAGUUUUAUCACUGUACUUGCGCUCAUAGUGAUUAUUGGCACUUUCUAUAUAUAUGUCUGUAUUUUUAUCGAGGCUCGAAAACGACGAACCUCUAGAGACAGGUCUAUAAGUGCAGGGACAGACGAGCUUGAUGUUAGUCAAGAGAAUUCAAGAGGGACGACAGAAGCAAUCCAUUCCAAGAAAACAGUUUCAUUCUUACAUGAUAUACAGCUUGCAAAAAUGUACUUAUUUGUAGUGUUGUCAAGUAUUUUUCUGAACCUACCAAACGCUAUUGUUCUCGCAAUGUUUGGCGACCGUGUGACAACAGUGGACGGCGUUGUCCAGAUCAAAAUAUGGACUGUAACUUUGGUUGCAAUGAACUCUACAAUGAACUGUAUAAUAUUUUUUUGGUCAAACCAGCGGCUGAGAAAAGAAGGCUGGAGAAUAUGUAAGGAACUUCUCAGGAAGUAAUCAUAUAGACAAUGGUCAUAAACUUUUGAUUUCUCAGGUUGUUAGUUUUAACAAUUAUGUAUAAAUUUCACCUUUCGCUUAAAAAAGCAAUACCCCGCAUGUAAUUUUCGCUUAUUUAAAUAUCCAUGGUGUGAAUUAUUGAGUUUCGCCAACAAGAAGUAAAAUAUCCAUGUAAUUUUUGCCUAUACGAAAAUUAAUUUCCGCCUAGAAGAGCUAUAAAGACUCCGUUUUGAAACUCACGUACUGUUGUAUGUGUUGUUUCAAUGAUUGUCUGGAAAACGGAUACCUUUAUCCAUUGAUGAAAACGGAGCAGUUCGAAAACCGCUUUGAAAAUGGGGACUUUAAUUUAAUACGGAGGCGUUUUGGAUUAGUAUGGACGGACAAAAAGGAAACGAAGGUGUUUAAAAUCGCUGACGUCAUGCAUGAGCAUGUUUGUUUUGUUUGCUCUAAUUUCAGGUGAAUUAAUUGUCGCGCACAGAAUAUAUUGAUAUAAUUAAUCAGCAAGCAAUAACUUGCAUAGACAACAUAAUGCUCGAUCUACACUGUCCUUAGUGUCCUAUAUAGGUUGUUUUAAUUUAUCUUAGAGAUUAUAAUUAAAAAACCAUUUCCCAUGAUCGGUAUAUAACAGUCCUAUAUUUUAAGCGGAUGUUUUUAGGUCACAGCGAAUUUGCCUCUUUCUAGUCUUCGUAGACAUUUUGAAUAAAAUAUAAACAUUGGAAAUGUUAGUAAAAAAUAUACUCGCCUAUAUGCGUUUUCGACUAAAUAUCAGAAACGAUGCUAUGGACGUAGCGUAACAUGAUAACAUGUAGCUAAUAUUUAUCGUAUAUAUAUAUAUAUAUAUAUAUAUAUAUAUAUAUAUAUAUAUGUAUCCGACUAGUUAUUAAUUAACGCAUGCACUUACAUCAUAGAUAUCUUAUGUACACUAGAUAGUGCAUCUAAUUAUCCUGCAAUUCAAAAAUUGAAGCCGUGAUUGCAGACUCAGGAUAUUCUCAUGAAAUGAGAAGACUCGUAUGUUUUCUACUUAUUAAACAGGGAACUUAAACAUUAAGUUAAACAUAUUCCAAAUACGUUUUCAAACUAUUCAAAUGAUGAAAGUUAUUGUUGUUUUUAAGCGUUUAUUAGCGAGUGGGAAACUCCAACAUGGCCGCCAUCUAUUCAAAUGGGGGUAACCGCUGGAAUAUUCUUGGCUUCAAUUUUACUAAAAGAGAUGCGCUAUCUAGUGUGUAUAAGAUAUCUAUGACUUACAUUCAUAUAUAUUCAAUUCAUGUUUUUGUGUAUAUUUACCGCUGUCAUAUUCUGUAUACGUGUAUUAUAAUUAGUGCAAAAACUGGAUGAUCUUGUGAACUUGAGAUAAAUAUGUACAGUAUAUAUAUUUUUGCUGAAACAUAUCUAAAAUUCAUUAAAUUUAUAUAUAGUUUGGCUCUAACUGUGAAAACACCUGCCUGAUCCUAAUCUUUACUCUUUAGCCGUUAACUGCAUUCUCAGUAUAAUCUAUAUAUAAUUAUCGGCAGGUAUUUAAUUCUCGAUAACAAAUAACUAUUCAAAAUGUUAAUCAAUUUUUAAUUAAUAAGGAAAUUAAAAGUAGAAAAACCAUACGCAUGUUACGGACGAUAUUGUAUGCAAUCUAUAUUGAGUAUAAACUCUAAUAAAGCCAACCCUCGAGCCCAG